rnacentral:rRNA from 1 species
CACACUCAUUACACAAUCGCACAGAAAGUGGGAAGGGGGACUCAAAGUGCUCAUACUUUGUAUGGGCUUUUGCCAACUCAAAAUCUGUUGGCGAAUAAGUGGGGGGAAAGACUGGUGCCAGCCGCCGCGGUAACACCAGCGCCACAAGUGGGAACCGGUAUUAUUGGGCCUAAAGCGUCCGUAGCAGGUUUAGUAAAUUGCUUGUGAAAUCGUAUAGCUCAACUAUACGGAUUGCUGGCAACACUGCUGAACUAGAGACCGGGAGAGGUUGGAGGUAUUCAGGGGGGAGCGGUAAAAUGCGAGAAUCCCUUGAGGACCACCUGUUGCGAAGGCGUCCGACAAUAACGGGUCUGACUGUGAGGGACUAAAGCUAGGGGAGCGAACCGGAUUAGAUACCCGAGUAGUCCUAGCCAUAAACGCUGCGAGUUAGGUGUUGCAUAAUCUUCGGGAUUAUGCAGUAUCGUAGAGAAGUCGUUAAGCUCGCCGCCUGGGAAGAACGGCCGCAAGACUGAAACUUAAAGGAAUUGGCGGGGGAAAGGGCGAAUUCGUUUAAACCUGCAGGACUAGUCCCUUUAGUGAGGGUUAAUUCUGAGCUUGGCGUAAUCAUGGUCAUAGCUGUUUCCGGAA